UACGAAGGGUGCAAGCGUUAAUCGGAAUUACUGGGCGUAAAGGGUGCGUAGGCGGUUUGUUAAGUCCGUUGUGAAAGCCCCGAGCUCAACUUGGGAAUUGCAGUGGAUACUGGCAGGCUGGAGUACGGUAGAGGAAGGUGGAAUUCCCGGUGUAGCAGUGAAAUGCGUAGAGAUCGGGAGGAACACCAGUGGCGAAGGCGGCCUUCUGGACCAGUACUGACGCUCAUGCACGAAAGCGUGGGGAGCAAACAGG
rnacentral:rRNA from 1 species